rnacentral:rRNA from 1 species
UGGGGAAUAUUGGACAAUGGGCGAAAGCCUGAUCCAGCCAUGCCGCGUGUGUGAAGAAGGUCUUCGGAUUGUAAAGCACUUUAAGUUGGGAGGAAGGGCAUUAACCUAAUACGUUAGUGUUUUGACGUUACCGACAGAAUAAGCACCGGCUAACUCUGUGCCAGCAGCCGCGGUAAUACAGAGGGUGCAAGCGUUAAUCGGAAUUACUGGGCGAAAAGCGCGCGUAGGUGGUUUGUUAAGUUGGAUGUGAAAUCCCCGGGCUCAACCUGGGAACUGCAUUCAAAACUGACUGACUAGAGUAUGGUAGAGGGUGGUGGAAUUUCCUGUGUAGCGUUGAAAUGCGUAGAUAUAGGAAGGAACACCAGUGGCGAUGGCGACCACCUGGACUAAUACUGACACUGAGGUGCUAAAGCGUGGGGAGCAAACA